rnacentral:rRNA from 1 species
UACGUAGGGUGCGAGCGUUAAUCGGAAUUACUGGGCGUAAAGCGUGCGCAGGCGGCUUACUAAGACAGGUGUGAAAGCCCCGAGCUUAACCUGGGAAUGGCGCUUGUGACUGGUAGGCUGGAGUGUGGCAGAGGGAGGUGGAAUUCCACGUGUAGCAGUGAAAUGCGUAGAGAUGUGGAGGAACACCGAUGGCGAAGGCAGCCUCCUGGGCCAGCACUGACGCUCAUGCACGAAAGCGUGGGGAGCAAACAGG